GUGUCAGCAGCCGCGGUAAUACGUAGGGGGCGAGCGUUGUCCGGAAUUAUUGGGCGUAAAGGGUACGUAGGCGGUAAUGUAAGUCUGUAGUAAAAGGCAUCGGCUCAACCGAUGUAAGCUAUGGAAACUGUGUUACUUGAGUAAUGGAAGGGACAGUGGAAUUCCUAGUGUAGCGGUGAAAUGCGUAGAUAUUAGGAGGAAUACCAGUGGCGAAGGCGACUGUCUGGACAUAAACUGACGCUGAGGUACGAAAGCAUGGGGAGCAAACAGGAUUAGAAACCCCAGUAGUCC
rnacentral:rRNA from 1 species